rfam:Chlorocebus sabaeus isolate 1994-021 chromosome X, whole genome shotgun sequence.
GCCAGGCACAAUGGUAUGUGCCUGUAGUUCCAGCUACUUGGGAGGCUGAGGUGGAAGGAUCACUUGAGUCCAGGAGGUUAAGGCUGCAGUGAGCCAUGAUUGGGCCACUGCACUCUAGCCUGGGCAAGAGAGUGAGAUCCUGUCUCUA